rnacentral:rRNA from 1 species
UACGUAGGAGGCAAGCGUUGUCCGGAUUUACUGGGUGUAAAGGGUCCGCAGGCGGACCCGUUAGUCGGUGGUGAAAUCCUCCAGCUUAACUGGAGAGCUGCCUCCGAUACUGCGGGUCUUGAAUCAAGGAGAGGGGGACGGAAUUCCAGGUGUAGCGGUGAAAUGCUUAGAUAUCUGGAAGAACACCGGUGGCGAAGGCUGUUCCCUGGCCUUAGAUUGACGCUCAUGGACGAAAGCGUGGGGAUCAAACAGGAUUAGAUACCCUGGUAGUCCACGCUGUAAACGAUGGAUACUCGGUGUUGGCCCGCAAGGGUCGGUGCCUAAGCAAACGCAGUAAGUAUCCCACCUGGGGAGUACGAUCGCAAGGUUGAA